rnacentral:piRNA from 1 species
UGAACAAUUCAUACACGUCAU